rnacentral:misc_RNA from 1 species
UCUCCGUAGGUGGACCUGCGGAAGGAUCAUUACUGAGUGAGGGCCCUCUGGGUCCAACCUCCCACCCGUGUUUAUUAUACCUUGUUGCUUCGGUGAGCCCGCCUCACGGCCGCCGGGGGGCAUCUGCCCCCGGGCCCGCGCCCACCGAAGACACCUAGAACUCUGUAUGAAGAUUGCAGUCUGAGCAAAAACUAAAUAAGUUAAAACUUUCAACAACGGAUCUCUUGGUUCCG